GCUGCUGCUGCUCCUCCUGCUGUGGGACCGCUGAGCGCGCGUCUGCUUCGCUCUCCCAGCUCCAAGUACGGGCCUGCGCACCUGCCGCCAGCAUGGACGCUCGCCGCGUGCCGCAGAAAGAUCUCAGAGUAAAGAACUUAAAGAAAUUCAGAUAUGUGAAGUUGAUUUCCAUGGAAACCUCAUCAUCCUCUGAUGACAGUUGUGACAGCUUUGCUUCUGAUAAUUUUGCAAACACGAGGCUGCAGUCAGUUCGGGAAGGCUGUAGGACCCGCAGCCAGUGCAGGCACUCUGGACCUCUCAGGGUGGCCAUGAAGUUUCCAGCUCGAAGUACCAAGGGAGCAACCAACAAAAAAGCAGAGCUCCCACAGUCCUCUGAGAAUUCUGUGACUGAUUCCAACUCCGAUUCCGAAGAUGAAAGUGGGAUGAAUUUUCUGGAGAAAAGGGCUUUAAAUAUAAAGCAAAACAAAGCAAUGCUUGCAAAACUCAUGUCUGAGUUAGAAAGCUUCCCUGGCUCGUUCCCUGGAAGACAUUCCCUCCCAGGCUCCAACUCAGUAAGUACCAGUCCUUGUUUAUAUACUAGUAGUGUUUUGGGCACACCUCAGGUAGAUUUGUGUUGUAUUUAAAAAUCUAAUUUUUUAACUUCUGUGGUCUUCUAGACAAACGAAGGGGACCUAGAGGAAACCCCUUGAGAGAUUUCUGGAUGAUCCUCCUUGAAUCCUGGGCAGUUUGGUCUCCCCUUGCUGUGCUCCUGUGGCACUAAAUCCCUUUUGAUUGGUUAUUUCUUUCCUUCUCCGCUAGACUAAGCCCCUCAAGGGCAGGUAAUGAAGAUUGAAAACUUUUUCCUGUUCUCCAGCAUGAGCACAUUCCUCCUACAUGGUAAAUGUGCAAUAGAUGUUUUUAAAAUUGGAGAAUGAAAUUAAAACCACAAUUUCUUACCAAGUCAUAGCUUGGUGUCAUAUAUGACUGCAUUCUGAGGAAUUAAGCUGGUACAACCCGAGGAUUUGGUGUGUCUGCUGUGAUAGGAAAGACUCAUUUUUCCUGCCUUCCCCUUGAGGAUAGGAAAGAAGGGAAGAGGGAAACCAUACAGAUACCCCUCUGUUGUGCAGUGUAGAAACUGAGUGUGUUUCUACAGGGCCAAGAGGCAUCAGUGAAAAGUUUGUGUUUUUUAAGAACAGAAGAUUAUUUCUUACAUCUUCAUUAAGUAAAAGAAUAAAUAGCUCGUCUCUCAAGUUUAAAGAAACUGGGCUUGGUAUUACAAAAGCAAAACUAAGAUGACCAUAUAGGUUUUAGGCUCAUUUUGCCAUGCAUUAUGUAAAGGACAAAGAAAAUGAAAAAAAAAAAAAAAAAAAACCAGAGCUCUCUUGACUGAAAACAUCCUGAAGGAGAAGGUAUGGAUUCCCCAAAGUACUGCUUCUCUUUACUGUGGAAUAAAUGGAUUCCAUUAUGCGUGCUUCUUUGCUUAGCAAUCAAGGAGACCUCGAAGGCGUACAUUCCCAGGUGCUGCGUCCAGGAGAAACCCUGAACGGAGAGCUCGUCCUCUCACCAGGUCAAGGACCCGGAUCCUCGGGUCCGUUGACACCCUACCCAUGGAGGAGGAGGAGGAGGAAGAGGAUAAGUACAUGUUGGUGAGAAAGAGGAAGACCAUGGACAGCUACAUGAACGAAGUCGACGUGCCCAGAAGUCGUCGCUCCAGGUCAUCCCUGACCCUUCCGCAUGUCAUUCGCCCAGUGGAGGAAAUUACAGAGGACGAUCUGGAGAACAUCUGCAGCAACUCUCGAGAGAAGAUCUAUAACCGUUCACUGGGCUUCUACUUGUCAUCAAUGCCGUCAGAAGACUAUUGAUACCAAAACAAACUGCAGAAACCCAAACUGCUGUGGCGUUCGAGGACAGUUCUGUGGACCCUGCCUUCGAAACCGUUAUGGUGAAGAGGUCAGGGAUGCUCUGCUUGAUCCGAACUGGCAUUGCCCACCUUGUCGAGGAAUCUGCAACUGCAGUUUCUGCCGGCAGCGAGAUGGACGGUGUGCAACUGGGGUCCUUGUGUAUUUAGCCAAAUAUCAUGGCUUUGGGAACGUGCAUGCCUACUUGAAAAGUCUGAAACAGGAAUUUGAAAUGCAAGCAUAAUAUCUGGAAAAUUCACGGCCUGCUUUCUGCUUCUCAAAUCUUUCUUGUUAAAGUUUCCAGGUUUUUCACUGAAACCUCUGAGUCAAGGAUCUUGAGGGUCAGCCUGUUUUAUAAGAAACUCCAAUCAAGGUAAUCUCAGUAGACGUGUUUCUGGAGCGUCACGGAAGGUCUAUUACUAGUUAACGCUUUGCCUUCCUGCAGUUUCUUUUCUGCUCCCAACCCCCUCCCCCCAUAGCAUUCCCCUCCAUUUCCAGCGGUCCUCUCUAGCUGCUUAGUUUUGUAAUUUCUUUUAAAGUAUAGUUUUAUGAAAGCGUAUUUUAUUUACUUGGUGUUGAAAUAGCCCUCAUAAAAGCUAAAGCACUUAGAAACACAGUGAUGAGUAUUAACCAGCUAGAGAAUUUCAGGGAACAGCCUUCUAACUUGUUUACAUAAAAACAAGUAUGAUUUAGCAUUCAUACUAGUUGAAAUUUUUAAUAGAGUCAAGGCACAAAAGUCUUAAAACCAUGUGGAGAAAUUAGAUGAUUGCUGCAGAUUGGAGUAUGUGACUUCAGAUGCCUUUCAAACCCAUGUGUUGUGCUUAUGUUACAAGUUGUUGUCACAGUUGAGACUUAUUUCUGCUAAUUUCUUGUGCCCAAAGGGUAAGUGGUGCGUCUAGCUUACACAAUCAUGAUUCAAAGGUUGGUGGGCAAGUAAUACUUAAAAUUGUAAUAGAAAAGCUAUCUGGAAAUUACGAGGAGGCCGGUUUGAAUUUUCGGUGUAAAACUUUAGUAUGAUUGUAGUUUGCCAAGUUUAUUUCAGUUUACAUGUAAGGUACUGCAAAUAAAUUCUUGGACAAUUUUGCUUGGAAACUUGAUAUUAAAAACUUAGUCUGUGGUUCUUUACAGUUUCUUGAAAAUUUAUAAACCUAGGCGCAGGGUUUAAGUUUAGAUUUUAAGCACUUUUGUAAGAAUGAGAAGUGCCUUUUUGGAGAUGUAACUUUCAGCAGUUAACCUAACAUCUCUGCCAGUCUAGUUUCUGGGCAGGUUUCCUGUGUCCGUAUUCCCCCGCCUCUUUGCAUUAAUCAAGUUAUUUGGUAGAGGAGGAAUCUAAGUGUUUGUGUGUCCGAUUUACUUGCAUGUGUAAACCAUUGCUGACCCAUUCAGUGUUUGAUGCAUGAUUGGACCAUGAAUCGAUAAGUGUAAAUACAACUGUUGAUCUGUAAUGCUUUUAUACAAAAGUGUUUAUUUUGAUAAUAAACUGUUUGU